rnacentral:rRNA from 1 species
CAAUAGCGUAUAUUAAAGUUGUUGCAGUUAAAAAGCUCGUAGUUGGAUUUGUGGCGUACGGUGUGUUCCGGGCACUUGUUGUCUGAGUAACCUGCUGUUGCCAUCCUUGGGUGGAACCUGUGUGGCAUUAGGUUGUCGUGCAGGGGAUGCCCAUCAUUUACUGUGAAAAAAUUAGAGUGUUCAAAGCAGGCUUGUGCCGUUGAAUAUAUUAGCAUGGGAUAAUGAGAUAGGACUUUUUUGCUAUUUUGUUGGUUUGCGCAAAGAGGUAAUGAUUAAUAGGGACAGUUGGGGGUAUUCGUAUUCCAUUGUCAGAGGUGAAAUUCUUGGAUUUUUGGAAGACGAACUACUGCGAAAGCAUUUACCAAGGAUGUUUUCAUUAA